rnacentral:rRNA from 1 species
AAAUGAAUAGACGGGGACCCGCACAAGCAGUGGAGCAUGUGGUUUAAUUCGAUGCAACGCGAAGAACCUUACCCGGUCUUGACAUGCAGUAGACCGAUCCGGAAACGGAUCUUUCCUUCGGGACUGCUGCACAGGUGCUGCAUGGCUGUCGUCAGCUCGUGCCGUGAGGUGUUGGGUUAAGUCCCGCAACGAGCGCAACCCUUAUCAUUAGUUGCCAACAUUUAAGGUGGGAACUCUAAUGAGACUGCCCGGGUUAACCGGGAGGAAGGUGAGGAUGACGUCAAGUCCGCAUGGCCCUUAUGACCGGGGCUACACACGUGCUACAAUGGUCGGUACAGAGGGCAGCAAAACCGCGAGGCGAAGCAAAUCCCCAAAAGCCGAUCCCAGUUCAGAUUGUAGUCUGCAACUCGACUACAUGAAGAUGGAAUUGCUAGUAAUGGCGAGUCAGCAACAUCGCCGUGAAUACGUUCCCGGGUCUUGUACACACCGCCCGU